GAAACAGAACGCUGCUUAGAGCUGCUUGGUUUCGGAGGCCCAUCGGUGCCUCGUCACCUUAGUAAUAGCGGUAGCAUCAUUAUAAAAACUAACGAAUCUUCCUAUGGAACUCGCUCAGUGAGACGUCAACAAAAUAGUCAGUCAGUUUCAGAUUAUUUUAAUUCUCCCGUGAAGUACUCAUCCCGAAAUUCAAGAAGACAACACCAACCGUCGCCAUUUUUCCCAUGGUCAUCGUUGCACAAGUAAUAAAACAGGAUACAUCUUACGUGAAUUGUUUGGGGCACCUCUCAGCUGAUCUAAACGGCCAAUCUUCGAUUCUCAUCCGUGCGAAAGAAGUUUUUCAUCAAUCAGACCACAUCGCGGCUAGACCCAACGGCCAACGCAAUCAUCAAGUAACUGUUAAUCAACAAAAGCAUUGCGAACGUUCCUCUGCUGCAUAACAAAUUGCUUCAAUUGGAAAGUGAAAAAAAUGCAUGUCUUGUUUGUGAAAUCUAGAUAAGAUUUAAG